CGCGUAGGCGGUUUUACAAGUCAGAUGUGAAAGCCCAUGGCUCAACCAUGGACGUGCAUUUGAAACUGUAAGACUUGAGUAUUGGAGGGGGUGGUGGGAAUUCCCGGUGUAGAGGUGAAAUUCGUAGAUAUCGGGAGGAAUACCAGUGGCGAAGGCGACCACCUGGCCAAAUACUGACGCUCAUGUGCGAAAGCGUGGGGAGCAAACA
rnacentral:rRNA from 1 species